UGUCCAGUAGCACCUUAGAGACCAACUAAGUUUGCUCUGGCUAUAAGCUUUGUGCAUGCACAUUAAACCUUAUACCCAGACCAAACUUAGUUGGUUUCUAAGGUGCUACUGGAUA